UUGCGGGAGCUGGGCUUAACCCGGCUGAGAGGGUUCUUCUUGGAACCGACCGAACCUGAUCUAGGUAAUUCUAGCGGAGGGAACUUUUUUAAUU
rnacentral:ncRNA from 1 species